rnacentral:miRNA from 1 species
CUUGAACAGUGUGGGUUUGAACUG